GACGAACGCUGGCGGCGUGCUUAACACAUGCAGGUCGAACGAAGAGCGACGGAAGCUUGCUUCUAUCAAUCUUAGUGGCGAACGGGUGAGUAACGCGUAAUCAACCUGCCCUUCAGAGGGGGACAACAGUUGGAAACGACUGCUAAUACCGCAUACGAUCUAACCUCGGCAUCGAGGAUAGAUGAAAGGUGGCCUCUACAUGUAAGCUAUCACUGAAGGAGGGGAUUGCGUCUGAUUAGCUAGUUGGAGGGGUAACGGCCCACCAAGGCGAUGAUCAGUAGCCGGUCUGAGAGGAUGAACGGCCACAUUGGGACUGAGACACGGCCCAGACUCCUACGGGAGGCAGCAGUGGGGAAUCUUCCGCAAUGGACGAAAGUCUGACGGAGCAACGCCGCGUGAGUGAUGACGGCCUUCGGGUUGUAAAGCUCUGUUAAUCGGGACGAAAGGCCUUCUUGCGAAUAGUGAGAAGGAUUGACGGUACCGGAAUAGAAAGCCACGGCUAACUACGUG
rnacentral:rRNA from 1 species